ensembl:lncRNA
AGACAGUCUGUGCUGUUUUCUUCCCAAAUUUCUUCUGGUCUUCAUUUCCUACAUCUGCUGUGAUCCUGAUAGCCAUCAAUCCUAAAAAGAGGGAAAGAGAAACUCCUGCACAAUUUGGAUUUUGAAAGUAAUGAAGAUGGAUACCGAAAACUGGGAAAUGAUGCUUCAUACCUUUGAGUAUCUAAACAAACUCCACAGAAAGGAUGGGCUUGAGAUAUACCAAGCCCUACGUCUACCUCUUGGUAGCUCCCAGACUCUUUUCAGUGGUGCCCAGUGCCAGGACAAAAGGCAGUGGAGCACAUGAGGUCUGCCUAACAUCAGGAAGCACUUUUUUAUUGCAAAGGCAGUGGAGCUCUGGCUGCCCAAAGAGGUUAUGGAAUGUUGUAUCAUAGAAUCACAGAAACAUUAAGAUUGGAAAAGACCACUCAGAUCAUCUAGUCCAGCUGUCAACCCAUCACCACCAUGCCCACUAAACUCUGUCCCUCAGUGUCACAUCUGCCCUUUUCUUGAACAUACCCAAGGACAGUGACUCCUCCUCCCUGGGCAGACUGUUGAAAUGCCUCACUUCUCCCUUGAAAAGAAAUUUUUCCUAAUAUCUAACUUGAACCUCCUUGAAGAUCAUCAAAAGCUGUCUGAAUGUGGUCCUGGUCACCCUUUCUGGUGAUCCUGUUUGAGUAGGGGUUGGAUUAGUUGGACCCAGACGUCGCUUCUAACCUCAACUGUCCAGUGUUUCUGUGACCAUUCUAUUCUUCUUAAGAAAAAACCUACAGAGGAAACCUAAAGAUACAGAGAGUAACAGAAGAGUAGUCAAGAAGAAUAAUGGAUUUCAUCAAGUUCAGUUUCCUGAUCCUGUUGUCCAUGCAUCUUCACCACUCCAACAAACAGAAAAAGAGGAAACGGUGGUGAGAAGGAAUAGGAAAGGACUCUCCUUUUUAGUACAUUCUUAGGUGAGUUGAUCACACAACUUUACCACCAGGAGAUUUCAAAAGAGAAACAGAGCUGACACCAAGUAUCAGAACAAUGAUUUUGUGCUUGUGGAUGGAACAGAAGGAAGUACUUCUCCUCUACACAAAAAACAGAAGCAAUCUGCUCUUUUUUUUGUAUUGUGAAAGUGGAAUGGAAUCAUAAUUAGGGACCUGUCGCAAUCCCUGACGCUAAAACCAUUUAUUUGACACUGGUGUGGAGCACAGAUGAGAGAGAAAAGUUCUAAACAAGGAAAUGUUUCUAAAGAAAU